rnacentral:rRNA from 1 species
AGAGUUUGAUCCUGGCUCAGAACGAACGCUGGCGGCGUGCUUCAUACAUGCAAGUCGAACGAGAAAAUUCCGCUUCGGUGGAAUGAGUAGAGUGGCAAACGGGUGAGUAACACGUGGGCAACCUGCUCUCAAAUUGGGGAUAACCUCGCCAACGCGGGGCUAAUACCGAAUGUUGUCCUAAUAUCGCAUGGUAUAAGGAUGAAAGCUUUUUUUAAUAAGAAGGCGUUUGAGAAGGGGCCCGCGUCCUAUUAGCUUGUUGGUGAGGUAAUGGCUCACCAAGGCUGCGAUAGGUAGCCGGCCUGAGAGGGUGAUCGGCCACACUGGGACUGAGAUACGGCCCAGACUCCUACGGGAGGCAGCAGUAGGGAAUAUUGCGCAAUGGACGAAAGUCUGACGCAGCAACGCCGCGUGGGUGAUGAAGUUUUUCGGAACGUAAAACCCUGUCAGGAGGGAAGAAACUCUCGAUUUUUUCGGGACUGACGGUACCUCCAGAGGAAGCUCCGGCCAACUCCGUGCCAGCAGCCGCGGUAACACGGGGGGAGCAAGCGUUGUUCGGAUUUACUGGGCGUAAGGGCGUGUAGGCGGAUGGGUCAGUCAGAUGUGAAAUUCCAGGGCUCAACUCUGGACCUGCAUUUGAUACUUCUCAUCUAGAGUAUGGGAGAGGAGAUCGGAAUUCCUGGUGUAGCGGUGAAAUGCGUAGAUAUCAGGAAGAACACCGGUGGCGAAGGCGGAUCUCUGGCCUAAUACUGACGCUGAUGCGCGAAAGCUGGGGGAGCAAACAGGAUUAGAUACCCUGGUAGUCCCAGCCGUAAACGAUCGGCACUAGGUGUUGGGGGUAUUGAUCCCCUCAGUGCCGGAGUUAACGCAUUAAGUGCCCCGCCUGGGGAGUACGCUCGCAAGGGUGAAACUCAAAGGAAUUGACGGGGGCCCGCACAAGCGGUGGAGCAUGUGGUUUAAUUCGAUGCAACGCGAAGAACCUUACCGGGGUUUGACAUGCCCGUCAUACCUUGAUGAAAGUCAAGGGUCAGUUCGGCUGGACGGUGCACAGGUGCUGCAUGGCUGUCGUCAGCUCGUGUCGUGAGAUGUUGGGUUAAGUCCCGCAACGAGCGCAACCCUUACCCUUAGUUGCCAGCACGUAAUGGUGGGAACUCUAAGGGGACUGCCUCGGAUAACGGGGAGGAAGGUGGGGAUGACGUCAAGUCCUCAUGGCCCUUAUGCUCCGGGCUACACACGUGCUACAAUGGUCGGUACAGAGGGCUGCGAAACCGCGAGGUGGAGCUAAUCCCAGAAAGCCGAUCUCAGUUCGGAUUGGAGUCUGCAACUCGACUCCAUGAAGUCGGAAUCGCUAGUAAUCGCGAAUCAGCAGGUCGCGGUGAAUACGUUCCCGGGCCUUGUACACACCGCCCGUCAAGCGAUGGAAGCUGGUGGUACCCGAAGUCAGUAGCCUAACUUUUCGAAGAGGGAGCUGCCGAAGGUAAAACUGGUGACUGGCGCUAAGUCGUAACAAGGUA